rnacentral:lncRNA from 1 species
UUGAGAGGGGGAGGGGUACCAUUAGCAAAGAACUGGACGCCACAAAAAAGUCAAGCAGGUAUUUUCUAUCUAAUGAAAAGUAAUAAUAGAUAUCUGUGACAAAAAAAAUUCACCAAUUUAGUGGUUAACAUAAAGGCAUUAUUAGUAUAUCAUAGAGAAAAGCUGAUGAAAAGCUUGCGUGAGUGGGCAUGAAAAAUUCAACCCCUUCAGUCUACAACUAAAGGAUAAAUGCAUAAGUCUGUCAUCUCUUUUCAGCUUCUCACACUCUACAAUCAGGUAUAAACUAUCAUGCCAAUAUAUUGGCAUGGAUCUAAAUAUUUUAUGUAGUUAAAACAAAUUGCACAACUUUUCAAUUGAAUUAUUAGAUGUGCAUAAAAGCGAAAAUAUCUUAACCAACUCAUGAUGUACAAAACAAAGGGUGAAGAAUUUGAGAAAAUAUAAUGAUGCAAACUAAUGCUCAUUCACAAGUAGCCAUAUAGACUGUUCUUAGUCAAAGAUGGUCCACAUUGAACAAUAAUUUGUUUAUAUAGAGAGCAUACGGAUGAUUUCUUUCUGUGAGUCUAGUUAAGUGGCAUACUACAAAACUAAGGAAUAUGAAUAUGACAGAUGAGUCAUAGUAGUUAUAAGCAGUCAUCAUAUUGAACAGAAGUAAGACAUCUAAACCAAUAACAGCAUGUAAAUUAACGAUACAAGCAGCAGAAGUGUUGAACCCAAGAAAAAAAGUUGUAGGAAGAGGCUAUUGAACUUCUUCUAACAUGAAAGAUGCAAGGGGAUUGGUUGGAUGAACUUGGCCUGCUACAUCUCAUUCUAUGUUGAUGUUCGCAGUAUCGCAAGAAAGAAAAGUGAAAGUUCCAUGAAUUUAAAUCCCAGUACCUGGCCCCAUCUCAGUUUGCUCUUGGGAUGGUAUGGUACCAGGAUGGGAUAGUACUAUUUGAACAGACCAAAACAGUCAACAAUGACCAGAAUAAAAAAAAAAAGCACCCCGAUCUUUAUCGAUCCAUCUAACAGAAUGGUCAGGACAUUUCAAAAAACCGGCGUCCAGCACCUGUAUCGGUCUUGUUUUCUUGUCAGAACAGUAUGGACUGAGGAUACCAUCCUGUUCUAGUGGGACUUCAAUCUUUAAUUACUAGCAUCUAAUCAGGAAGGAAGAAACACAGUCUUAACUCAUUAGAUGAAGUUUUAUUAGCAAAAUACCAGUGCCAAACAUUAAGAAUGUUAAUCUAUGUGGCUGUACCCACAUGCUUGUACACUCAAAAGCUAUGAUAUAGCCAAAACAGAAACAAUUCUCAUCUGGCGACAAGGAUACUAGUGCCUCCCACGGCAAACUCUCAAAAUCCAGAUGCAGCAACAUGGAGGUUAUACAAUAAGAAUGUGCACAUACACAUAUAGUUGAUAAGGAUAGUCAAAUAGUGACAUGAAUACACAUGCCCACAGAAUCAUUGUUCACAAGUAUUUGUAGUUCUCUACAUUUACUUUCAUGAAUUCUGUCAACAAAAGCAAGUAAUUACUUAAUGACAUCAGUCAUAGAUCAAAGUGGACAGUGACCAGGAUAGGGCUUCACUUACAAUGAAUGAAAUAAUAUUUUCAGCUUUGAGUCUCCUAAAAAAAUUACAGAUUAUGGAGCAAAUAAAGCUAGAACAAAUCAGUCAGCAGAUAAACUUCGUUUUUGUACUUGUCACAUGUACCUGGGAAGGCCAUGCUUGCUGCCAAACCCACGUCCUAAUACUUACGCAGUUACACCCCCUCAUCAACCAGCACUUGUUAUUAGCAUAACUUUGAUUAUUCUGGUAAGUUUUGUAGUUUUUUUCAAAUAUUUACAAUCUUGUGAUAUAUAAUAUGCAGCCACAAUACGAAUAAGCUUUUGCUAUUGAGUUGUAUUUAACAAUAAGUAACAUGUAAGAAUCUUUUGAGCCCUAGAUCUUAAAUCUGUCCUUGCUACCAUACCAAAUUUGCACCCAAAUCUCCAGGCAAUUAAAUAUGGCUCCUUGCAUCUGGCAAUUUUACAAGUAUACCCAUGCAGAUGAUGCUUAGUUGAUAACAAAUUAUAAGAGAUCAGAGAUGCCCAUAAUGUCAACUAAGAUGAUGAAAAGAAGUAAUUUUCUUACUUGCAAAGUUCCAAAGGCCCGAUCUGUAACAAUCCAUGUCUUACAAAGCAAACGGAUAGCUGUAGCAUAUAACACUCUGAAAAAGCAAUAUUAGAAAAUUAAUAAAAUCCACCAACAACAACAACAACCGUAAUCAUAGAAAUAAUAAGUAAAAAACAAUAAUGCCUACAAAAAUUGCAACAAAACUGAAAAUCAUGUCACAAAUCAUGCAACUCUUGACAAUGCCUUCUAACAAGAUACGCCAUCUCGAUACCAGGGCCCCAAACUGGUACAACCCUGUUACUGUGUCGGUAUGCCUGGUAUAGGGGCCAAUUCGGCAUACCGAGUAUCGAUACGCUCCCAGUGCCGCAUACCAGUAAUGAACUAGUACAAUAUGGUAUGCCUCAUACCAUCCGUUUCGUUUCGGUAUGGUAUGGCAUACCUCGCCUUGUACUAUACAAGUGGAUUCAAGUCCCAAACCUCUAAGCUGCAAAUAUAAUUCUCAAAUAUCAACUAAGCGACGGGCAACAACCCACGGUUGAUCAUACACUAAUCAAUGAGAAAAUGGUUGAUUUAUAAGAUAACAAAAAAAGCUGUCCUAGUGUACAAGGCUCCUACCACGGCAAUAAUUCAAGAGAAUCACCGGACUCGAUGUAGACCAUUUUGGCCACUACAAGUAUUCAGGAGGAUCACCAAAUUCAAUGUGGAUUACUUAGGCCACUAAGAGUAUCCCAAGAGAUCACCAAACUCGACGUGGAACACUUUGUCCACUACAAGUAUUCAGGAGAAUCACCAGACUCGAUGUGAAACACUUUGGCCACUAUGAGUAUUUAGGAGGAUCACCGACUCGAUAUGGACCACUUUGGCCACUACGGAUAUUCAGGAGGAUCACCAGACUCGAUGUAGAUCACUUUAGCCACUACAAGUAUUCAAGAGGAUCACUAGACUCGAUGUGGAAUAUUUUGACCACCACGAGCAGAGUUGGAUAAAGCUCAAGAGCGAGAUCUGCCACAUCAGAAAGCCGAGUCGCAGACUAAACUUUUAAAAGUUAUAAUUUGGUCAUACGAUGCCCGAUUGAGAUGAUCUUUUUUUUGAAAUUUGGUAUCUUUUUGAGAUCUACAACUAGAAUUAAAUCGGGCCGAAAAUCUAUCGCUUAAAUCUCGAAACAGGCCAGUCAAACCGAAAGUUCUCUUUUCGGAUAAGACUUUGACCGGGCGUGGCUCUAUAUCCGAGAAGAAUCGGACAGAGUGACAAAGUAGAGUUGAUGUAGAAGUCGAGAUUUAUCUCUUUGAAAUUUUUAGCUUGUUCUAGAAGAUUUCUACAAGAUGUGUAUUUAGAAAAAAUAGUCCUACUAGGAUUAGAAAGAGAAAUCCGACCCAAAUUAUUUUGGGACAGACCUCACAUAAUAAAUAGAGGCUAUGUACCUUCUUUUUAUUAAUCAUUAAUGGAAAAAAAGGGGUCUUAAGCCGUACUUUCGAGAUUCCUUCUUUUAAUUCUUUUGAGCGAUCCGAAUUGAGUGGGUUAAAGAAAAUCUUUCUUCUUCCCGAUUGGAUCAAGUUGGUAUCAAAGCUUCAGUCCUCUACAUCUGUGGGAGCCUUAGUGCAUGGUCCAGAUGCACAAGCGAUACAAGCAGUAAGGAGAAGGAUUAUCCGUGCUUAAAGUACAUUGAAGGAUAAAAGCGAAUAUGAUUGCUAGUUCUACCUCGAUGGAUGAUGAGAUGAUGAAACGUCUCACAUAACUAGAAAAGAAGACAGCCCAUCUCACCGAGAUCGUGUCUUGAUUGGCGACGCCUUCAACACGAGCACCAACAACACUAUCUUCGAGCAAAACAAGUAGUUCAGUCGCAAAGCAGGAAAGUAAGUAUUUUUCCAUCUUCAUUUCUAAUUUAGCAUGAGCUAAAUCCCCUAAACAAGAAGAGCUCUAAUCCAAGAGGAACAUCGAACUUGAUGUGGACUAUUUUGGCCAUUACGAAUAUUCAAGAGAAUCACCAAACUCGAUGUGGAUCAAUUUGGCUACUACAAGUAUUCAAAUAGAUCACCAGACUCAAUGUGGAAUACUUUGGCCACUAUGAGUAUUCAGAAAGAUCACCAGACUUGAUGUAGGUCAUUUUGCCUACUGCGAAUAUUCAAAAGGAUCACCAGACUCGAUAUGGAUCAAUUUAGCCACUACAAGUAUUCAGGAGGAUCACUAGACUCGAUGUAAAAUACUUUGGCCGCUAUGAGCAGGGCUGGAUAGAGUUCAGAAGUGAGAUCCGCCACAUCGAAAAGCCGAGUCGCAGACCAAACUUUCGAAGGCUAUAAUUUAGUCAUACGAUUCCUGAUUAAGAUGAUCUUUUUAAAAAAAUUAGGUAUCUUUUCGAGAUCUACAACUAAAAGUCAAAUCAAGCUGAAAUUCCAUCAUUUAGGUCCCAAAAUGGGUCAGUUAAACCGAAAGUUUUCUUUUCGGAUAAAACUUUAACCGAGCGUAACACUUUAUCCGAGAAUAAUCAGGCAGAGCGACAGAAAACGGAGUUGAUAUAGAAGUUAAGAUCUACCUCCUAGAAAUUUUUAGCUUUUUCUAGAUGAUUUCUACUAUAUAUGUCUAAUUAGAAAAAAGUCUUACUAGAAUUAGGAAGCAAAAUCCGGCCCAAAUUGUGUUAAGACGGACCUCACAUUAUAAAUAGAGUUUAUGUAUCUCAUUUUUAUUAAUCAUUUAUGGAAGAAAAGGGGACUUAAGCCCUACUCCCGAAAUUCCUCCAUCUUCUUCUUCUUUUUUGAGAGAGAUUCGAGUUGAGUGGGUUGAAGGAAUCUUCCUUCUUCUCAAUCGGAUCAUGCAAGGUUUGGGAAGAAUCAGACAUAUGCACCCUUACCCCUUAAUGUAGAGAGCCUGUAAGUAAAAAAAAUGACAGCCAGCAAGGCGGUUUAUAACAUAGCCACACACAUUGCACUUGAAAUAUUGAAUCAAGAUAUGUACCCACUUAUGAAUGCACUUGAAAUAUUGAAUUCUUGACUAUUUCAAGUCAGCUCUUUGAAUCCUUCUUCAUUAUUAAUUGCUAUCAUAGGUCAUGUCCUACUACUUCAAACUUCAAAUUUUCUUUUUUUUAACAACUCUCAUUCAUGCUGUCAUGCUCUCUCGAUGAAUCAUUGAAACAAAAACUAGUAUUUUUCAAAGCCACCUUGGACAACAAUUGUACAUGUGGAUGUUAACUUAAUUAUCUAUAACUUUAUCAACUAGUGCAGCACCUAUGCACCAUGAAUGUACUAAUUUCUUAUUUUAUCAUCAACUAGUGCAGCCUUCCCUAUUUUACAACACAUCACAUAAGCAUUAUUAUCUUUCAUCAUCAACCUUAAAGAUAUAUCGGUUUAUCAUCCAACGUUUUUAGCUACAUAGUGUGAUUUAUUGUUGAUAUCAAUCGGUCAUCUCUUAAACGCAUUCAACAAUCACCUAAAACACAAAAGUGAAAACCAUGUCAUUUCAUUCAGCAUACCCCCUUUAAGGCACCAAGGAACGGAACCAUUAAGGUGAGAAAAAUGGAUCAAUGAGAUUCAUGAGCAUGGCAUACAACAUAGGGCAAAAACAAUUCAGCAUGCAAAUUAAGCUCAUAUAUCACCAACUUAUCUCAAGAUGCAUUAUUCAAAAAGUAACAAAGAAACCAAGGGAUAACAGUCAGAAUUAACCAUCAAAACAGUUCAUGCAUGAGUUAUCUGUAUAUGACAACGUAACACAAUCAAAAAGAAAUCAGAAGAUAGCAUACGGUUUUGCAUCUCUGUGAAGCAUUGGCAAAAUAGUCUGCAUAAUGAUUGGUACCAUGAUAGAAUGCAAAGCGAGUGAUGGAAGCAUUUCCAACAGUUUGAGCUGCAAGCAAAUGUCAAAAAAAAUGGAGCAUAAGUAAAAAUUUGAUAUAUGAGAUAAUGUUCAAUCAUGCCUUAAGUUUAAAAAGAAUAAGCAUUAUUAAUGUGUUUAGAUGCAAAGGAGAACAACAAGAUUGGACAGAGAAUGAAAAGAAAAUUAGAAACUCUUAUUGUUUGGUCACCAUGAGUGUGUGAGAGAGAGAUGUGUGUGUGUGUGUGUGUGUGAGAGAGAGAGAGAGGUUGAAUGUUGCUCCCUUCAAUUUGGUGAUUGACAAUAGUAAUGUAGUGAGGAAAAAGGCCAUUGUACAGUGCUGACAGUCAAUGAUGGCAAAUAGUGAUUGCACCCAUGUUGGUGGACACCGAUGGUUAAAAUUGCUUAGCUAAUUUGAUUGUCAAGCUUGCUAUAAGAACUCAAGGACUUUGAAUGAAAGCACUUUUUGGAUGCUCAUGCAAAGUGAGACAUAUUAAACUGGAUACCACAGAAAAAAAUCAUUAAAAAGUAACUCACAUAAAUGCAUACAUGCAGGCAUAUAUGUACAAUUAUAUACUUGCAAACAUCACAAAGAUACCUGCUUGAGAGAAAAUAAUAUGUAUAUAAAUAAUUGCAUGUUCCAACCCCAAAUAGUUGGGAAAACGCCAGUGUAAACAAAGUCUAUAAUUAGUAGUUCUGUAUUUUUAUAUUUCCAUAUUUGAUGAAUCGUUCACAUAAACAGAUAACAAAACAAAUGGAAAGCAAAAAAAUUGGAACUUGAAAAAUGAAAAUGCAAAACAGAAGAUUAACAAUAUACUAAAAUAUAUCAAACAGAAAAUGCAAAAACAGAACUAUUAAAAAAAAACUAAGCAACUGAAAAAUAAUAUUUAAGACAAA